UUUUGCGCCACUUUACACCACUUAUGCCUACCAAGCGGAUACAUUCUUCCCGGGAUUUAGAAAGAGUUAUAGGAAGCUAGCUCGUAAUGCUCUAGUCUUAUGUUUCGCCCGAGGCUUAUUUGAGGUUUGGAGUUACGCUUGCUUUCCUCAGUCAGACUUACGGGAUGAGGAAGGGAUAUUGAAAUUGCGGAGCUUUCCUAUCGUAAUGCUCUAGUCUUAUGUUUCGCCCGAGGCUUAUUUGAGGUUUGGAGUUACGCUUGCUUUCCUCAGUCAGACUUACGGGAUGAGGAAGGGAUAUUGAAAUUGCGGAACUUUCCUAACUACCUGUUGUAUCAUUUCUUUACUUGUUAUCCCGUUAUAUUUUUUGGCUAAAGCAGCUUAUCUUCCGCUAGCGGAUAAAGUAGUUAAUCCCUAAGAAGCUAGAUAGUGAGCUUAUGGCUUACUUGCCUUUUUCCUUAAGAAAGAAUCGAAGAGUGGAUGCUCUGCCUGAGUUAGACCCCCUUAUUAGUGUAUUCUAAGUCCUGGUUGUAUCCAUUAUAGGCGG
rnacentral:lncRNA from 1 species